CAGCAGUGGGGAAUAUUGCACAAUGGGCGCAAGCCUGAUGCAGCCAUGCCGCGUGUAUGAAGAAGGCCUUCGGGUUGUAAAGUACUUUCAGCAGUGAGGAAGGUGGGUAUGUUAAUAGCAUACUCAUUUGACGUUAGCUGCAGAAGAAGCACCGGCUAACUCCGUGCCAGCAGCCGCGGUAAUACGGAGGGUGCGAGCGUUAAUCGGAAUUACUGGGCGUAAAAGCGCAUGCAGGUGGUUUGUUAAGUCAGAUGUGAAAGCCCGGGGCUCAACCUCGGAAUUGCAUUUGAAACUGGCAAACUAGAGUACUGUAGAGGGGGGUAGAAUUUCAGGUGUAGCGGUGAAAUGCGUAGAGAUCUGAAGGAAUACCGGUGGCGAAGGCGGCCCCCUGGACAGAUACUGACACUCAGAUGCGAAAGCGUGGGGAGCAAACAGGAUUAGAUACCCCUGGUAG
rnacentral:rRNA from 1 species